GGAGAUGGAGAAAGCCAGACUUUUUGAGAUUUUAAAAAAAGUUUAAAAAGUAUGCCUUAAUUUGUUUAAAAAAAAAAAAAAGAACCAUGAAAAAUGUACUGUGAAUACCAAAAAGAAAUCUUAACAAUACUACUAAUAAAACAUCUGAUUUGAAGAUGAUGCUAAUGUUAUAUAGCAUUGGCAUUUUUGGGUUGUUUUUUAAUAUAAAAUAUGGGAACUUCCUGUUACAUAUAACAAAACAAAUGGCUUCACCCUGAGGUAGAGUGGAGUAAAGUGGAAAUUUAUUUUUACAUAUAUGUAUUUUUUAAUUUGGUUGAGGUCACAGAAUUGACCAAUUCUCUACUCAUCUAAGUUAUGUUUUUAGAGUUCAGCAUAAAUACCAAUUUCUAGCCUGCAUUUAAAAGUGAAUUUACAGCAACAUUAUAAGAAAACUGCUGUCUUUGAAAGUACUAGAUCUGUAUACUUAUUAAACUUCAGCCUUUUAAUCAGACCUUAAUUCAAUUAUGGGUUUCAUUUGACUAUAACAGGUCAAUGUUUGCUGUGUGAAGUUCUGUGGUUAAGGCUUCUGGGCUCUGUGUGUUCUGGGUUAAGGCUGGAAAUGCUGCUCUUGUAAUGAUGCUCACUAGCUCUUAGCUCUCUCCAGCGUUGAUUGGCUUCCUUCUCUUGCAAGCACUCGGAUGAUUGGCUCCCAUCUACUAACUGCUUGUGCUGGGAGGGAGCUACUGAGCAAAGCUGCUUUCCUUCCCUCGCUCUGCUCCUUUUCAUUUCUAAUUUGUACAGAAAAUUUGUCCAAAGAUUUUUCAGACUUGCUCGUAGUCCCCAAUAAGAGUUGCAAAGCUGUGUGUCUCCUUUCUGUCUAUUCUCCCUCUACUUCUGAUGUACCAUGAAUUUGGGAAAUGCUUUUAGGCAAUUAGAACUCAGCAUUAAAACUUCUGUAUAUGGAGUGCUUAAAAACUUACUUUUAAGUCAUUUUUUUGUUGUUUUUUUUUUUUUUUAUUUCUAGACCCAGAGGCCUCACUUUUUUAUUUAAUGUGGUAUUUUAGAAGUCUUUAAAAUAAUAAUUUACUCAAAUGCAUGGAAGAAAUUAUAUAGUACAUAAAAGAACCAUUUUAUGUGAUGGACAAAUAUAAUUAAAAUCAUGGAAAGAAUGAGAAAUUCUAAGAGACUUCAGGUUUGUCGAUACAUUCUUGUAUGAUGCAUCUUACACUGGGAUACUUUUUAAUAUAGAUUUCACUCCUUUGGCCAUUGGCCAUUAUAAAGUGACUAGACUUUUCCUUAACACAGGCGUUUUUAACCUGGAUUCUCAAACUCUUGGAAGGUCUAUGUGAAAUGGUGGGUUUGUGUGCCAGUACAUUUGCUUGUUGUUUUCUGAGGAAGAUCCAUAGUUACUAGAUUGAUAAAGAGUUGGUGGCAUUCUCCCUCUCCAAGAGGUUUCAAAUGGCUGAAACAUGACAGCUUCGAAAUGCCUUGAGCCCCUGGAGGAAGUAGAGUUCUGCCCUGACUUUUAGUUCUGGGAUGUGAAUUGUUCUCUUAUUUUCUCAAAGAUUGCAGUGGAGAAUGUUUUGAUAAACAAUGAUUUCCUUCUCAAUCUCCAUUUGUUUCUUCAGGUUGCUCUGUGGUACAUUUUCCCCUUUAUUUCAGCAGAUCAUUGAUUAAAUGUUAGUGCUCUGUAAGGUGACCUGAGCUAGGUCUUGAGGGACAGCAGUCCUGUGCAGGGUGAGUCCACAUUACUUGUGUCAGGUCAGCCCUUGACACUCCCAGCUGCCACAGCAGUCCACAGUCAGCCCGUUACUCAUCUCAGCAGUUGUUCUGACAGUGGCAGCAAAGAAUGGGAACUACUGAUAGCUCAGCUCUAAAAUAGGAACUGAUUUGGAGGGAGACUU
rnacentral:lncRNA from 1 species